GCUGCCUCUCACACCUGUGAGUCGUUAGGCUCGUUAUGGCAUCUUUUUAGGGAGAGGGUUGCUGAGCAUUCGACGCUUGAGUGUCGUCCUUUGUGGUACCUCAAGCCCUGUAUCCUGUUCUCAUUUUACAAGCUCUCUGAGAUCUUCUUGUGACCUAGCUCUGUUCCUUUUUUAAGUUGCCUUCCUGGAUCCUUCUGGUGGUUCCUGUGCAACCUGUUCUCACUCUCCUUCUGAAGUUCCCCGUUUGGAUCGCAGGCUUACCAUCACCGGGUUCUAGACGCUCAGCUGCCUAACCUGUCCACCCUCCAAUGAACUGUUUACCUUUUGGAAACACGGACCUUCCAUCCAAGAACUCUAACCUGUCCACCCUCCAAUGAACUGUUUACCUUUUGGAAACACGGACCUUCCAUCCAAGAACUGACCACCCCUCCCGGACUCCAUUCCUGCCAGCAACAAGGACGUUCCGCCGGAGCCGCCCUGAAUUCCUCAUUCAUGUCAUAUCCCUUCUGAAUAAAUCUCUUAAAACUUCA